ensembl:snRNA U6 U6 spliceosomal RNA
GCACUGGCUUCAGCAGCACAUAUAUUAAAAUCGGAACAGUACAAAGAAGAUUAACAUGGUUCCUGUGUAAGGAUACCUCGCAAAUUCAUGAAAGUGCCAUAUUUUUU